AUGAACGCUAGCUACAGGCUUAACACAUGCAAGUCGAGGGGCAGCAUGGUCUUAGCUUGCUAAGGCCGAUGGCGACCGGCGCACGGGUGAGUAACACGUAUCCAACCUGCCGUCUACUCUUGGACAGCCUUCUGAAAGGAAGAUUAAUACAAGAUGGCAUCAUGAGUCCGCAUGUUCACAUGAUUAAAGGUAUUCCGGUAGACGAUGGGGAUGCGUUCCAUUAGAUAGUAGGCGGGGUAACGGCCCACCUAGUCUUCGAUGGAUAGGGGUUCUGAGAGGAAGGUCCCCCACAUUGGAACUGAGACACGGUCCAAACUCCUACGGGAGGCAGCAGUGAGGAAUAUUGGUCAAUGGGCGAGAGCCUGAACCAGCCAAGUAGCGUGAAGGAUGACUGCCCUAUGGGUUGUAAACUUCUUUUAUAAAGGAAUAAAGUCGGGUAUGCAUACCCGUUUGCAUGUACUUUAUGAAUAAGGAUCGGCUAACUCCGUGCCAGCAGCCGCGGUAAUACGGAGGAUCCGAGCGUUAUCCGGAUUUAUUGGGUUUAAAGGGAGCGUAGAUGGAUGUUUAAGUCAGUUGUGAAAGUUUGCGGCUCAACCGUAAAAUUGCAGUUGAUACUGGAUAUCUUGAGUGCAGUUGAGGCAGGCGGAAUUCGUGGUGUAGCGGUGAAAUGCUUAGAUAUCACGAAGAACUCCGAUUGCGAAGGCAGCCUGCUAAGCUGCAACUGACAUUGAGGCUCGAAAGUGUGGGUAUCAAACAGGAUUAGAUACCCUGGUAGUCCACACAGUAAACGAUGAAUACUCGCUGUUUGCGAUAUACAGCAAGCGGCCAAGCGAAAGCGUUAAGUAUUCCACCUGGGGAGUACGCCGGCAACGGUGAAACUCAAAGGAAUUGACGGGGGCCCGCACAAGCGGAGGAACAUGUGGUUUAAUUCGAUGAUACGCGAGGAACCUUACCCGGGCUUAAAUUGCAGAUGAAUUACGGUGAAAGCCGUAAGCCGCAAGGCAUCUGUGAAGGUGCUGCAUGGUUGUCGUCAGCUCGUGCCGUGAGGUGUCGGCUUAAGUGCCAUAACGAGCGCAACCCUUGUUGUCAGUUACUAACAGGUCAUGCUGAGGACUCUGACAAGACUGCCAUCGUAAGAUGUGAGGAAGGUGGGGAUGACGUCAAAUCAGCACGGCCCUUACGUCCGGGGCUACACACGUGUUACAAUGGGGGGUACAGAGGGCCGCUACCACGCGAGUGGAUGCCAAUCCCAAAAACCUCUCUCAGUUCGGACUGGAGUCUGCAACCCGACUCCACGAAGCUGGAUUCGCUAGUAAUCGCGCAUCAGCCACGGCGCGGUGAAUACGUUCCCGGGCCUUGUACACACCGCCCGUCAAGCCAUGGGAGCCGGGGGUACCUGAAGUGCGUAACCGCGAGGAGCGCCCUAGGGUAAAACUGGUGACUGGGGCU
rnacentral:rRNA from 1 species